GAGGAAUUUGCAUAAUUAAAGUCAGCCUUCCUAUGGGCAGAUGAUUACCAGGCCUCUCCUCGGUCCUAUCCCAGAUAACAUCAAGCUUGAAAUUUUCAGACCAUCUCCAAUUCAAUUCCAUUCUGUAAUUUAUCCAAGUAUUGCUGGGAGUUGAUGUGAAAAGAUCAAAGGCUAUGAAGUCAGAAAGAUUGCCAUCCCUGGACUCCCUCCCAUGGAGAAAGUCUGGACCCAAAGACUGGAUGUUGUCUUCUUCUUACUCUCCUGAACUAACCCAAGAUUUAUUUAUUGAAAAUUGGGGUAGGGGGCCAAAGACCCAUCAUCAAAUAUGCAGGGACACGGAGUUCCUUCCCUCCAGAGGACACAGCAACAAGGCUCUGUGUUUCAAGCAGACAGCAGCCUUCACUGAACGCCCAACUUGCUGGUGCCUUGAUUUUGAACUUUCCAGCCUCCAGAACUGUAAGAAAUAAAUUUCUGUUCUUUAUACAUCA